GACGAACGCUGGCGGCGUGCUUAACACAUGCAAGUCGAACGGAAAGGCCCCUUUGGGGGUACUCGAGUGGCGAACGGGUGAGUAACACGUGAGUAACCUGCCCUUGACUUCGGGAUAACUUCAGGAAACUGGGGCUAAUACCGGAUAGGAAUCCUUGCUGCAUGGUGGGGGUUGGAAAGCUUCGGCGGUUUUGGAUGGACUCGCGGCUUAUCAGCUUGUUGGUGGGGUAGUGGCUUACCAAGGCUUUGACGGGUAGCCGGCCUGAGAGGGCGACCGGCCACAUUGGGACUGAGAUACGGCCCAGACUCCUACGGGAGGCAACAGUGGGGAAUAUUGCACAAUGGGCGGAAGCCUGAUGCAGCAACGCCGCGUGCGGGAUGACGGCCUUCGGGUUGUAAACCGCUUUCAGCAGGGGCGAAGCUUGUGGUGACGGUACCUGCAGAAGAAGCACCGGCUAACUACGUG
rnacentral:rRNA from 1 species